rnacentral:lncRNA from 7 species
CUUUUUCUCUGCAGCUAUUUUUUUCUACUCAAAUGUCACAGUUAAUAAGUUUUAGAAGAUUAGUAUUUUAUACGUCUGUGGAAAAAAAAGUCUCUGUAUCCCAAAAGAGCAGAGUGGGGGGAGUUCCUGCUGAUAGCAAUUUUGACAGCUCUAUCUCUGGGUCUCUUAGCCAUGGUUUUUAUAGACACUGAUGAAAUUCCACCUGAGCCUCACAAUCAUCCCUAAGCAUCUCAUAUAAGUACAAUUCUUCUAUAAAGCUACAAAAAUUCAGAUAGAACUGUGUUCCUAGAGCCAUUAAACUUUCAAGUUCAUGGUUCUUUUUCCUUUUUCUGCAGAAAUCCCAACACAUCUGUUCAUCAACCCCACCUCCAGCUGAGAGAAAGGUAGUGAUGGAUUGCAGAGUCCUGCUCCACAUUCUGUUAAUCUUGGCACUGCCUUCCUCUUCAGAUUCGAAAUACAGGAACUGCAAGUUGCUAUUGUUCCACUAUUCUGUCCUCUUGUGAUGUCAAAGAAAAGAGGGGAGGAGGGCUGCUUUGAUUUGACUUGAGCUAGCAUUAAGGUCCUUGAUUUGGAUAUCAGCUGCCACAGUGUAAUGCAGUGUAAGUAGGAGGCAAUGCUAAGGCACAGGUGUGGCAAAUGCAUACUUGAGAACUAGGGCAAAAUUUUGUGAAAUGUUACUAAAUUUUUCAGGAGAACUUCCUUCUGACAACUACAAAAUGAAAAUUAAGCUAUGCUUUCAAAAGAUUUCAAUAGAUUUUGGACAAUGCACAGAUGUGGAUUUUGUUUGUUUUGUUUUGUUGCAUUUUACUUUGUUUUUCACUGGCCGU